GGACAAAUGGCCGAGUUGGUCUACGGCGCCAGGUUAAGGUCCUGGUCUCUUCGGAGGCGUUGGUUCGACUCCUUCGGAGGCGUUGGUUCG